CCGUCACCAUCGGCGCCACCACCACCGGACCCGGGCGGGGGGGCCGAACCUGUGCCAGAGAGCAUCGCCGCCGCCAUCCCGGGGCCUGGAAGGAAUGCAGCACGGCAAUGGGGCUAUCGACGACUAGCCUAUGGCAGGAAACAUCGGACAUCAAGAUCAGUUGUAGAGCUCUUCCACCACCACCACCAUCACCCCCCACCCCCCCACCCGCAACACCCCGCCAACUCCCCCCACAAGCUAGACUUUGGGAGCUGCGGAAAACCUGGAACGGCUGAGCAUGGAACUCCGGGAUGUGGGUUCUAUGCACUAAACCCCAGCUAGGCUUGGAAUAGAGUGGCUGUUCUCAAGGUCUGGGAAGGAGGGCGCUGCGAGGUCGAGAAAGGCAAGCUCCAUGGCCCUUGGGUGGAGCUACUGUAGCCGCUAAACAUGAAGCCAGACCCUCAAGGUCACAGAGAGAUGGAAGACAUGUCAACUAUUUUUUUUUCCCCUCAGAACCCUCUACCCUUAGGGAAUUAUCUGAACCUGGCUUUCAGGAAGCUGAAUGGUGAGCAGAGCGUCUUAGGUGCCAGAGACGGAAGAGGGCACCGGAGCUGCCUUGGAUGUGCAUGUAGCCUGAGACCCGAAGCCUAACAUUUGUCUCACUAGCCACCAAAUCGCUGGGAUGUGAAGGAUCAGCCCAUUUGGAGCACGUUGUAUUUCAGGUCCUGUCUGACUCCUAGCAAGCAGUUCAAAGGGAGUCUUCAUGGGUGACUCUUAAAAUCCCAUUUUCCUUCUAGAAUCUCUAAGGAUUUCCGGGAAAAUAUUUAUCAUUCUGUUUUUGCACCAGCCUGCUAUGGUUUACUCUGACACAAAACUUAAAAUGAAAAAGGGAGGAGUUAAUGAGACUUGUGUAUUUAACUGACCAUGUGACUAAAUGUCUUUCAACUAGUACCAUUUCUUUCAAAAAUUCUGUCAAAGCUAACUAGUGUUAAAUAAAAAGGGCCCAAAUCCCUUCACUUCUCUA